rnacentral:rRNA from 1 species
UGUAUAGGAUGCGUAGGCGGUAAAAUUAAUUAUAUAUAACAAUAUCAGUUAUAUGGGUGUUUAUAUAACAAAAUUUUACUUGAAUUUUUUGGAAGCAGGUGAAAUCUAGUAAAUGAGUGAUUGAAUAUGUUGACUUUAUGGGGAUCUUCAUCGGCGAAAGCGGCCUGCUAUAAAAAAUUGACGCUGAGGCAUGUAGGUAUAGUGUUCGAAUAGGAUUAGCAGCCCUAUUAGUCUAUACUGUAAAAGAUGGGUACUAGGUCUGAACCCUUUAUAGGUUUUUGGAUCUAAACUAACGUGCAAGUACCCCACCUGGGUAGUAUAGUCGCAAGAUCGAAACUUAACAAAAUUGGCGGGAAUUUGUUCAAACGGUGGAACAUGUGGUUUAAUGCGAUGAUCCGCGAAAAAUCUUACCAAUGCAUUUUCUAAAUUACUUAAAGCAAUUUUUAAUUAAAUAAUUGCUUGUUUUUUAGAAAUUAGGUGCUGCAUGGCUGUCGUCAGCUCGUGUUGUGAGGCGUAAAAUUAACUUUUUUUACGGGCGC